GUGCUGGCUUUGGCAGCGCACAUAUACUAAAAUUGGAACGAUAUAGGGAAAAUUAGCAUGGCCCCUGCACAAGGAUGACACGCAAAUUCAUGAAGCAUUCCUUAGUUUU